AGGAUCAUUGUCGAAAUCUGCAAAGCAGAAUGACCUGCGAACAAGUGAAAAAUCGUGGUUGAAAAAAGGCGCCUUCGCCCCCUCAACUGGGUCAUUGGAGGCGGUUGGGCCUUGUGCCCCCCCGUACCUCUCGUGUUCCCAAUCUAAUAAACCUCAGCGCGGAAUGCGCCAAGGACAACAAACAGAAGGUACGCUGAUGCCCCUUGCACCGUAAAUGGUUGUGCGUGGCUUGCGUAUUUUGCUUAAUCUAAUGUUACAACGACUCUCGGCAACGGAUAUCUUGGCUCUCGCAUCGAUGAAGAACGUAGCAAAAUGCGAUAGCUGGUGUGAAUUGCAGAAUCCCGUGAACCAUCGAGUCUUUGAACGCAAGUUGCGCCUAAAGCCGUCAGGCCAAGGGCACGCCUGCCUGGGUGUCACCCUCCCCCUUGCCCAAAUACACGCCUCGUCCCACAUAAAAAUGGGAAGAGUUAUUAUUUGGGCGGAUAAAUGGCCUCCCAUGGCGAACAUUUUUCGUGGUUGGCCCAAAAAUAGCACUUGGCUCUUAGGAAGCCACGACAAGCAUUGGCGAAAAACUUCGGUGAUUCCUUGAUCGUUGUUGUCGUGCUAGACUUUGUAGCGUGCUGUAAAAUACCUCGGUGCUUGCAUCUUAAGAUUUGCGACCCCAGGUCAGGCGGGAACACCUGCUGAGUUUAAG
rnacentral:rRNA from 1 species